rnacentral:rRNA from 1 species
GACGAACGCUGGCGGCGUGCUUAACACAUGCAAGUCGAACGGAAAGGCCCUUCGGGGUACUCGAGUGGCGAACGGGUGAGUAACACGUGGGUGAUCUGCCCUGCACUUUGGGAUAAGCCUGGGAAACUGGGUCUAAUACCGAAUAGGACCACGCGCUUCAUGGUGUGUGGUUGAAAGCUUUUGCGGUGUGGGAUGGGCCCGCGGCCUAUCAGCUUGUUGGUGGGGUAAUGGCCUACCAAGGCGACGACGGGUAGCCGGCCUGAGAGGGUGACCGGCCACAAUGGGACUGAGAGACGGCCCAGAAUGCAACGGGAGGCAGCAGUGGGGAAUAUUGCACAAUGGGAGCAAGCCUGAUGCAGCGACGCCGCGUGAGGGAUGACGGCCUUCGGGUUGUAAACCUCUUUCAAUAGGGACGAAGCGAAAGUGACGGUACCUAUAGAAGAAGCACCGGCCAACUACGUG